rnacentral:rRNA from 1 species
GAUGAACGCUGGCGGCGUGCCUAAUACAUGCAAGUCGAGCGAACGGACGAGAAGCUUGCUUCUCUGAUGUUAGCGGCGGACGGGUGAGUAACACGUGGAUAACCUACCUAUAAGACUGGGAUAACUUCGGGAAACCGGAGCUAAUACCGGAUGAUAUUUUGAACCGCAUGGUUCAAAAGUGAAAGACGGUCUUGCUGUCACUUAUAGAUGGAUCCGCGCUGCAUUAGCUAGUUGGUAAGGUAACGGCUUACCAAGGCAACGAUGCAUAGCCGACCUGAGAGGGUGAUCGGCCACACUGGAACUGAGACACGGUCCAGACUCCUACGGGAGGCAGCAGUAGGGAAUCUUCCGCAAUGGGCGAAGCCUGACGGAGCAACGCCGCGUGAGUGAUGAAGGUCUUCGGAUCGUAAAACUCUGUUAUUAGGGAAGAACAUAUGUGUAAGUAACUGUGCACAUCUUGACGGUACCUAAUCAGAAAGCCACGGCUAACUACGUGCCAGCAGCCGCGGUAAUACGUAGGUGGCAAGCGUUAUCCGGAAUUAUUGGGCGUAAAGCGCGCGUAGGCGGUUUUUUAAGUCUGAUGUGAAAGCCCACGGCUCAACCGUGGAGGGUCAUUGGAAACUGGAAAACUUGAGUGCAGAAGAGGAAAGUGGAAUUCCAUGUGUAGCGGUGAAAUGCGCAGAGAUAUGGAGGAACACCAGUGGCGAAGGCGACUUUCUGGUCUGUAACUGACGCUGAUGUGCGAAAGCGUGGGGAUCAAACAGGAUUAGAUACCCUGGUAGUCCACGCCGUAAACGAUGAGUGCUAAGUGUUAGGGGGUUUCCGCCCCUUAGUGCUGCAGCUAACGCAUUAAGCACUCCGCCUGGGGAGUACGACCGCAAGGUUGAAACUCAAAGGAAUUGACGGGGACCCGCACAAGCGGUGGAGCAUGUGGUUUAAUUCGAAGCAACGCGAAGAACCUUACCAAAUCUUGACAUCCUUUGACAACUCUAGAGAUAGAGCCUUCCCCUUCGGGGGACAAAGUGACAGGUGGUGCAUGGUUGUCGUCAGCUCGUGUCGUGAGAUGUUGGGUUAAGUCCCGCAACGAGCGCAACCCUUAAGCUUAGUUGCCAUCAUUAAGUUGGGCACUCUAAGUUGACUGCCGGUGACAAACCGGAGGAAGGUGGGGAUGACGUCAAAUCAUCAUGCCCCUUAUGAUUUGGGCUACACACGUGCUACAAUGGACAAUACAAAGGGCAGCGAAACCGCGAGGUCAAGCAAAUCCCAUAAAGUUGUUCUCAGUUCGGAUUGUAGUCUGCAACUCGACUACAUGAAGCUGGAAUCGCUAGUAAUCGUAGAUCAGCAUGCUACGGUGAAUACGUUCCCGGGUCU